rnacentral:rRNA from 1 species
GAUGAACGCUGGCGGCGUGCCUAAUACAUGCAAGUCGAGCGAACAGAUAAGGAGCUUGCUCCUUUGACGUUAGCGGCGGACGGGUGAGUAACACGUGGGUAACCUACCUAUAAGACUGGGAUAACUUCGGGAAACCGGAGCUAAUACCGGAUAACAUUUGGAACCGCAUGGUUCUAAAGUGAAAGAUGGUUUUGCUAUCACUUAUAGAUGGACCCGCGCCGUAUUAGCUAGUUGGUAAGGUAACGGCUUACCAAGGCGACGAGACGUAGCCGACCUGAGAGGGUGAUCGGCCACACUGGAACUGAGACACGGUCCAGACUCCUACGGGAGGCAGCAGUAGGGAAUCUUCCGCAAUGGGCGAAAGCCUGACGGAGCAACGCCGCGUGAGUGAUGAAGGGUUUCGGCUCGUAAAACUCUGUUAUUAGGGAAGAACAAAUGUGUAAGUAACUGUGCACGUCUUGACGGUACCUAAUCAGAAAGCCACGGCUAACUACGUG